rnacentral:rRNA from 1 species
AUUGAACGCUGGCGGCAUGCCUUACACAUGCAAGUCGAACGGUAACAGGUCUUCGGAUGCUGACGAGUGGCGAACGGGUGAGUAAUACAUCGGAACGUGCCUAGUAGUGGGGGAUAACUACUCGAAAGAGUGGCUAAUACCGCAUGAGAUCUACGGAUGAAAGCAGGGGAUCGCAAGACCUUGUGCUACUAGAGCGGCCGAUGGCAGAUUAGGUAGUUGGUGGGAUAAAAGCUUACCAAGCCGACGAUCUGUAGCUGGUCUGAGAGGACGAUCAGCCACACUGGGACUGGUACACGGCCCAGACUCCUACGGGAGGCAGCAGUGGGGAAUUCUGGACAAUGGGCGAAAGCCUGAUCCAGCAAUGCCGCGUGCAGGAUGAAGGCCUUCGGGUUGUAAACUGCUUUUGUACGGAACGAAAAGCCCCGGGUUAAUACCCUGGGGUCAUGACGGUACCGUAAGAAUAAGCACCGGCUAACUACGUGCCAGCCGCCGCAGUAA